GACGAACGCUGGCGGCGUGCUUAACACAUGCAAGUCGUACGGUAAGGCCCUUUCGGGGGUACACGAGUGGCGAACAGGUGCGUAACACGUGAGUAACCUGCCCACAACUUUGGGAUAACGCUAGGAAACUGGUGCUAAUACUGGAUAUGUUCUCCUGCUGCAUGGUGGUGGUUGGAAAGCUCCGGCGGUUGUGGAUGGACUCGCGGCCUAUCAGCUUGUUGGUGGGGUAGUGGCCUACCAAGGCGGCGACGGGUAGCCGGCCUGAGAGGGUGACCGGCCACAUUGGGACUGAGAUACGGCCCAGACUCCUACGGGAGGCAGCAGUGGGGAAUAUUGCACAAUGGGCGCAAGCCUGAUGCAGCAACGCCGCGUGCGGGAUGAUGGCCUUCGGGUUGUAAACCGCUUUCAGCAGGGACGAAGCUUUUUGUGACGGUACCUGCAGAAGAAGCACCGGCUAACUACGUG
rnacentral:rRNA from 1 species